AUUGAACGCUGGCGGCAUGCCUUACACAUGCAAGUCGAACGGCAGCACGGGGCAACCUGGUGGCGAGUGGCGAACGGGUGAGUAAUGCAUCGGAACGUACCUUUCAGUGGGGGAUAACGUAGCGAAAGUUACGCUAAUACCGCAUAUUCUGUGAGCAGGAAAGCAGGGGAUCGCAAGACCUUGCGCUGAUUGAGCGGCCGAUGUCAGGAUUAGCUAGUUGGGGAGGUAAAGGCUCACCAAGGCGACGAGCUGUAGCGGGUCUGAGAGGAUGAUCCGCCACACGGGAACUGAGACACGGUCCAGACUCCUACGGGAGGCAGCAGUGGGGAAUUUUGGACAAUGGGGGCAACCCUGAUCCAGCCAUGCCGCGUAAGUGAAGAAGGCCUUCGGGUUGUAAAGCUCUUUCGGCCGGGAAGAAAUCGCACGGGCUAAUACCCUGUGUGGAUGACGGUACCGGAAUAAGAAGCACCGGCUAACUACGUGCCAGCAGCCGCCGUAACAC
rnacentral:rRNA from 1 species